GGCGAGUGAAGUGGGAACAGCUCAGCACCGAAGCCGGCGGCCGAGAGGCCGUCGUGCAAUGUGGUGUUCGGGCGGGCUCUGUCCGCGUCCGGUGUCGGUCCAAGUCUCCUGGAAAGGAGUUCCGUGGAGGGUGACAGGCCCGUGCGACCGAUCGCCGCGCUCGCGGACGAGUCCUCCUUCGAGUCGGGUUGCUCGCUAAUGCAGCCCUAAGCAGGUGGUAARCUCCAUCUAAGGCUAAAUAUAACCACGAGUCCGAUAGUCAACAAGUACAGUGAUGGAAAGUUGAAAAGUACUCUGAAGAGAGAGUCAAAUAGCCCGUGAAGCUGCCGAGUAGUAGGGAUUAAGCGCGACGUGUGACGCGUGUCGU
rnacentral:rRNA from 1 species